AGGUGAGUCAGUGGCAAGAUCUUCAUCUAUGAGGCGAGUGACGGUGAGUGUCUGAUUGAGCUGGAGGGCGUCAAGCGAGGGUCUGUCAGCUCUAUCGAGGUGGAGAAGAAGUGCAAGAAGGUCUUCGUCACAGGCGGGGAGGACUGUCUCAUCAAGUUCUGGAACAUCGAGGCAGGGGUGGUAACUCACGUUGGCUUUGGUCACAGCGACAAGAUCACGUGUGUCAGAUUUGGCUCCUGCUCCUCUCUGCUGGUGACCGGAAGUCACGAUGGCUCCAUCUGUAUCUGGGACAUCCCUACCUUAACUUAGCUGACGACAUGACGUCACGAACCGACGAUCAGCAGAUGCAUCAUUUCAUCGUCUGCCAACGUUUAUUUUCUUAGGAAUUUCAUUUGUUUUCAUGUUUUAUACUACACCAGAAUGAGUUUUGCUCAGAUAAAAAUUGCAGGACUAUUAUUACUCUUAUACUUCAUGAUUACGCACAUAUCAUAACGUCCCCAAUAUAUUUUUGAAUGACUCUUAAUUGUUUAAGAUAUAUCAUUUCUACCAAAUAUAAAUUAAUAUUUAAACACCUUUUAUUAUAAGACAUUUUUCAUUUUACUAUUUUUCUACUCUUUAGUUCUAUUUAUAAUAAACUUAAGCCCUGAUUGGUUAAAAAAAACCACAACUAUAAGUGUUAAUCUAUUGUGUGUUCAAUUUUUUAUAUCUCGCCAGCAAUGUGUAAAAACUGCAUUCUAUAGAAUACCUAGGCAAUCUAUAUAACGCCCAAAAUGGGUUAUGAAAGUAUAAAUUAAAUAAUACUUCUAUCAUAUUUCAUACAUUUUCUUGUCGUUCUAUAGAAU